GCUUAGUUCAAAGAUUAAGCCAUGCAUGUCUAAGUUUAUACAGUGAUUUAUCACUUCUGAAACUGCAUAUGGCUCAUUAAAUCGGUUGUAAACUCUCACAAACUACACUGUUACUAUAUAUUAUAAUUUCGGUUGUAAUGUAUGGUAACAAUAAAUGGAUAUCUGUGGGAAUUCUAGAGCUAAUACAUGAUUCUAUCAAUAAUGAUAGGUUUUAUGAAGUAAUGUUAAUAGCAUUAUGGAGUACUACGCGUUCGUUAUUAAUUUAAUCUAAAGACCUUAUACUGUUGUUAAUUAUUAAUCUCGGUUAAUAGUUAAUUUCAAUAUAUGGUUGAAUCCCACUGAACUCACUAGAUUUGCCAAUCGCAUAAAUUUAUUAAUAGCAAUAUUAAUAAAGGCGAUAGUUUGUAGAGACUUCCGACUCAUCAGCUUAUGUUGGUAAAAUAUAGGUUUACCAAGGCAUUGACGGGUAACGGAGGAUUGGGGUUUGAUCCCGGAGAGGGAGCCUGAGAAAUGGCUACCACUUCUAAGGAAGGCAGCAGGCGCGCAAAUUACCCAAUGUCAAAUUGAUGAGGUAGUGACGAUCAAUAACGACGUGGACUUCUAUUGAAGGUCCACGAUCGGAAUGAGCUCUCCUUAGAUUAUUGAGCGAGUAACAAUCGGAGGAAAAGUCUGGUGCCAGCACCCGCCGGUAAUUCCAGCUCCGAUAGCAUAUAUUAAAGUUGUUGCAGUUAAAAAGCUCGUAGUUGAUUUUGAGUGCAAUGGUUAUGAUCUUUAAAAACAGCUCUUAAUUUAUAAAUAAUAAGAUUAGCAAUAAGAUUAUUAUUUAUGGUUUUGAUGUCUUUUUUAUUGAUUAUAAUCAAUAAACGGUUACAUAUAAUUCGGUACGUUACCGCGAGUAAUGUUAUCGAGGCCGAGCACAAGAUUAAUAAUUAUUGAUUCUUUAUUCAUUCGUGUUUAAUUAAUUGAUAGUUAUUAAUCUAAACCUGGAGUAAAUUAGGGUGUUUAAAGCAGGUUGUUCGUAUGAACGCCUUGAAUAGUUGAGCGUGGAAUUUUAAAUUACCUUAAUUUGGAUCCCAAUACCUAAAACUGGUUUUAUAAUAGCAAUAUUAUAAAGGUCUUUAGAGGGUAUUAAAUAUAAUUCUCGGAUUAUGUUUUUUCUUUAAUUGUUCUUUCGGGUUCAGUUAAAGGAAGGGAAUUUAUUGAUGAGGGUGGUCGGUGGUGUUAGUAUUUAGUUGUCAGAGGUGAAAUUCUUGGACCAACUAAAGACUAUCUUCAGCGAAAGCAUUCACCAAGUACACUCUUUUUCAAUCAAGAACAAAAGUUAGGGGAUCGAAGAUGAUCAGAUACCGUCGUAGUCCUAACCGCAAACGUUGCCGACCAGGGAUUAUGUAGAUGUCACAUUGAUGGCUUUACUAGAACCCUUAGGGAAACCCUGAGUUUUUGGGUUCCGGGGGGAGUAUGGUCGCAAGGCUGAAACUUAAAGGAAUUGACGGAAGGGCACCACCAGGAGUGGGGUUUGCGGCUUAAUUCGACUCAACACGGGAAACCUUACCAGGUCCAGACUCUGUAAGGAUUGACAGAUUAAUGGAACUUUCUUGAUCCUGAGGGUGGUGGUGCAUGGCCGUUCUUGGUUGGUGGAGCGAUUCGUCUGGUCAAUUCCGUUAACGAACGAGACCUCGACCCCUCAAAUAGUAUUGUUUAUUCUUCCGCUAACAAAGUCAGGUUAGUUAUUCAAGGUUAAUAUAAUUGUUUGUGGUUGGUUAUGUUCGAAAUAUAUUGUUAUCUCGGUAAUAAUAUACUAGGGGAUAAUCGAUUUAAUGGAUGGUUAUAUUAAUUUUAGCUAAUCCCUUUGGUUGAAUAAUCAAAAAAUAUUAUUAUUGUUGUAAAAUGGUAAUAAUAUAAUGCUUCUUAGAGGGACGGCUCGCGAUCAGCGAGAGGAAGCUUGAGGCAAUAACAGGUCUGUGAUGCCCUUUAGAUGUUCUGGACCGCACGCGCACCACACUGAUGGUAAUUCCAACAAGCGAACUAAUUAAUAAAAUGGAUAUUCAUGUAGUUGAAAGAAUAUUAUUAUUUAAUCUCGGUUUUUUAAUAAUAUGAUUUCUUCAACCUCUGUUUAUUUAUUGUGUCCCUUGGCUACGAAAGGUCUUGGGAAUCUCGAAUAAUCAUCGUGAUGGGGAUAGAUCAUUGCAAUUAUUGUUCUUCAACGAGGAAUUCCUAGUAGGCAUGAGUCAUCAGCUCGUGCCGAUUACGUCCCUGCCCUUUGUACACACCGCCCGUCGCUCCUACCGAUCGAACGUCCGGGCAAAGUCCUCGGAGUAAUAAGAUAGUAAUGGCUUGCUAUUAUGACUCGUAUUACAAAGUUGAUUAAACCUCGUCGUUUAGAGGAAGGAGAAGUCGUAACAARGUAUC
rnacentral:rRNA from 1 species